rnacentral:sRNA from 1 species
GCUGGGCGUGGUGGUGCACGCCUGUAAUCCCAGCUACUCAGGAGGCUGAGGCAGGAGAAUUGCUUGAACCUGGGAGGUGGAGGUUGCAGUGAGCCGAGAUCAUGCCACUGCACUCCAGCCUGGGUGACAGAGAGAGACUCUGUCUCUA